GAUGGAAAAAAGCUAGCCCAACUGAAACCAAUAAGUAAGGAACUGAAGUUAAAGUCUUAAAUACUCAUGGUAGUGAUGUCGUCUUUUCUUCAGAGACUCUGUCUAUAGAUGGAAAAGGGACUACAUCAUCAGACUGAUUCAGUUCUACAAGUUCAAAUAUUAGAAUUGAGGACUCUGCUGAACAUUGAGAAAAAAUACCGUAUUGGGAGAAGAUGGCAAGAGUCUGAUUCAAACUUCCAGUCUACC